rnacentral:siRNA from 1 species
GAUGCACAAGAUGUGUUGGAUGGA